CCUACGGGUGGCAGCAGUGAGGAAUAUUGGUCAAUGGGCUAAGGCCUGAACCAGCCAAGUCGCGUGAGGGAAGACGGUCCUAUGGAUUGUAAACCUCUUUUGUCGGGGAGCAACGAGGCCACGUGUGGCCGAAGUGAGAGUACCCGAAGAAAAAGCAUCGGCUAACUCCGUGCCAGCAGCCGCGGUAAUACGGAGGAUGCGAGCGUUAUCCGGAUUUAUUGGGUUUAAAGGGUGCGCAGGCGGGCCUUUAAGCCGGCGGUGAAAUCGCGGGGCUCAACCCCGCCGAGCCGUCGGAACUGGGGGCCUUGAGUGCGGCGGAGGCAUGCGGAAUGCGCGGUGUAGCGGUGAAAUGCAUAGAUAUCGCGCAGAACCCCGAUUGCGAAGGCAGCGUGCCGUGCCGCCACUGACGCUGAGGCACGAAAGCGCGGGGAUCGAACAGGAUUAGAUACCCCUGUAGUC
rnacentral:rRNA from 1 species